rnacentral:rRNA from 1 species
CCAAUAGCGUAUAUUAAAGUUGUUGCAGUUAAAAAGCUCGUAGUUGAAUUUCGGGGUUAGUAGGUUGGUCAUGCCUCUGGUAUGUACUGGUCUCACUGAUUCCUCCUUCCUUAUGAACCGUAAUGCCAUUAAUUUGGUGUUGCGGGGAAUUUGGACUGUUACUUUGAAAAAAUUAGAGUGUUUAAAGCAAGCUAACGCUUGAAUACAUUAGCAUGGAAUAAUGAAAUAGGACGUUCGAUCUUAUUUUGUUGGUUUCUAGGAUUGACGUAAUGAUUAAUAGGGAUAGUUGGGUGCAUUAGUAUUCAAUUGUCAGAGGUGAAAUUCUUGGAUUUAUUGAAGACUAACUACUGCGAAAGCAUUUGCCAAGGAUGUUUUCAUUAAUCAAGAACGAAAGUUAGGGGAUCGAAGACGGUCAGAUACCGUCGUAGUCUUAACCAUAAACUAUGCCGACUAGGGAUCGGAUGAUGUUAAUUUUUUAAUGACUCAUUCGGCGCCUUACG